GACGAACCGUGCGAACGUUAUUCGGAAUCACUGGGCUUAAAGGGCGCGUAGGCUGACCGGAAAGUCAGGGGUGAAAGCCUCCCAGCCCAACUGGAGAAGCGCCUUUGAAACUGCCGGUCUUGAGGGGUGCAGGGGCAUGCGGAACGUCAGGGUGGAGCGGUGAAAUGCGUAGAUAAUCGGGAGGAACACCAGUGGCGAAGGCGGCGAUCUG
rnacentral:rRNA from 1 species